UGGUGGUCAUGGCACAGUGGCACCACCCGUUCCCAUUCCGAACACGGAAGUGAAACGCUGUUGCGCCGAUGAUAGUAUGACGACAGGUCAUGCGAAAGUAGGACACCGCCA
rnacentral:rRNA from 1 species